rnacentral:misc_RNA from 1 species
GGGAAUAGUCGGUCAAGGUGUGAACAAGUGUAAAUAUUCUGACUUUUUAGAGCAAUUCCAUUGAUGGGUAGUGUUAGAUUUCGAGUGUUUUUGCUUGUAGUCGUUCAAAAUCUGAGUGUUUCUUUAUUUUUUUUUUUGAAAAUUUUUGAGCUUAGUGGUAAUGUGAUUAAACAUCGGAGUAGUUUUGGUAUUUGUGGUUUAGAUUUUC